rnacentral:lncRNA from 1 species
GCCUUCGCGGAGUUGCCGGAGGGUGCGGCCGCCCAGAGCGCACCCCGAGCGCCGGCGAGCGGCGCGGUGAGACCCUCGUGCAGUAGAGACGGAGUUUCACCAUGUUGGCCAGGAUGGUCUUCAACUUCUAACUUCGUGAUCCACGCUGCUGGGAUUACAGGUGUGAGCCACCGCGUGUGGCCUCUGGGCACCUUUUGAAGGUAGCUGAAGCAGAGAGAGAAGGCGGCAGGCAUCAGCGUUUUCUUCUAUGAACUUAUAAGAUCAAAGACUUUAAGACUUUCACUAUUUCUUCUACCGCUAUCUACUACGAACUUCAAAGAGGAACCAGGAGUACGGAAGGAGCAUGAAAGUGGACAAGGAACGUGACCAUUGAAGCACCACAGGGAGGGGUUCAGGCCUCCGGAUGACUGCAGGCAGGCCUGGGUAACAUCCAGCCUCCCACAAGAAGCUGGUGGAGCAGAGCGUUCCCUGACUCCUCCAAGGAAAGGAGACUCCCUUUCCCGGUCUGCUCAGUAACGGGUGCCUUCCCAGACACUGGCGUUACCGCUUGACCAAGGGGCCCUCAAGCGGCCCUUAUGCGGGCAUGACAGAAGGCUCCCCUCUUGCCUUCUAUUCACUUCUCACAAUGUCCCUUCAGCACCUGACCCUAUACCUGCCGGUUAUUCCUAGGUUAUAUUAUUAAUGCAACAGAGUAAUAUUAAAAGCUAAUGAUUAAUAAUGUUUAUAAUAAUGAUGGAUAAUUGUUCAUGAUCAUCGCUGUAUCUAAUUUGUAUUAUGACUAUUCUUAUUCUAUUUUCUUUAUUAUACUGAAACAGUUUGUGC